GUCAACAGCCAUAGCACCCUGAAUGUGCUCAAUUUCAUCUAAUCUUGGAAGCUAAGCAGUGUAGGGUCUGAUUGAUACUUGGAUGGGAGAAAACCUUUAGACAACAACCACUCUAUUCUAGCCA
rnacentral:rRNA from 1 species